GUUGUAAUAAAUUUAGUCUCUAUUAGUAACAAUUAUAAUAUUAAUUCAAGUAAUUUUAUACAAUGUCAACAAAUGUUUAUAGAAAAAUUAGUUUGAAAAUAUUAAAAAUGUUAAGACACGUUUAGAAAUUAAUUUUAGAAAUUUAUGUAAAAUGAAUUAAAAUUUUUCAAAAUUUUAAAAUACGGCUACAAAUGUAUAUAAGAAAUUGACGUAAUAUUAAUUAAAAAUGUUAUUCCAAGAAUUUGCGCAGAGGGAAGAAGGUAGAAGCAAGAAGGUAGUUACUGACAGAUUUGAAAUGUGAGUUAAGAAAUUUAUUAAUUUUAUUGUUACGAAUUAACUUGUCUUUAUUUCUAUGGUGGAAAACAUAAAAAUAGAACACAAAAUGCCAUUAUUAUUGAGUUUAUGGAAAAAAAUUCAGAUAUUUUAAGAGAUUUACAAAACGUAAUUUAACACCAUAACAAAUGCGUCUUUAUUCAGUCGAUAAUGUGAUAUACGGCAAUGCAAACUGCACAGGAUGCAUGAUGCAAGCAGUACGAAAAAGCACACCUGGCAUUACUGUCGCAUCUGUUGCCCUAAAACUCGCACAAAAAUUACACGAAAAUCAACUGUGCUAGCUAAAAUGUCAUUUUAAGUUAUUUGUGUUAAAUAUAAAUAUAAUAUUAUUGUUUUAAUAUAUUUGUGAACUUUCGCAAUUAAAUAAUAAAUUUCUUUUUUUGUUUUUUCAUCCAUUCUCUUUUUGUAUCUUUUAAUCGAAAACGGUCACUAUCUAACUCGUCAGUGAGAGUAUUAAUAAGAAAUAUUCCUCAAAUUUUUAUGUCUGUAAAUGUAAAUUUUUAAAUGCGCAGUUUAGCAGUUUCAUGCAAGAGCAUCAGCUAGCAUAAAAUUAGGAGUACAAACUGCGCAGUGUUGCAAGUGUUUACUACAAUACCGAUAAGCCCAUAUGUAAAGUAAGCAUGUAAAGACAUAGAAAUAUCCCUGCAAGACGGAGGUAAUUAAUUCACUACUACAAUUUCACUACAAAUUUCAGCUCUUACACAUCUACAUAUUCAAAACUAACUUUAAAUAGAAAAUUCUGUUGUAAGAGUAGGAACAUUCAUCAUGCAUAAUUUUUAAUGCGACUUACAUACAGACCACCAUUUUCCAUCAAUAAUGGCCGGCAUUAUUUGCAAAAAAAAUGUUUAGCCCUUUUUUGAUAAGUUUGUUAAAUUUUAUUUUAUUUAUUUUGUGGAUUCAAAAGGUGUUGAUUAAGAAGUCACUUCUUGAAUUUUACGUUGUUUCUAAAGAAUUGAUUAAAUAUAGUUGUAGAAGAUGGAUGAAAACUCUCCAUGCGCUACCCGAGCUGGAAAUCGAGUGGUAACAAUUGUGUCGCUAUCGUGAAGCGAUAUAUAUUUUUCGCAAUGGUGAAUUCAAGGUCGGUUGCCUUAUUUUCUCCUUUAAGGUUGGAAAUUUACAGCGCAUGACUUGGAAUGUUCGAAAGAUUUUACACAUAAACAAGCGCAUGUCCACAGAGAUGUCGGCACUGCAAGUACCUAACGGCGUAUGCGAUCUCUUGCAGAGCUGUGUCAUUGUGGUGGGACACGAUCGUCUUUCGAAACAGACCAAUGAGAACGCCAUACUGCUGUUUCGUGUUAGGUGGCUCCACGUUUUGCACGAAGUAUGUAGUGGAGAACUUCCGUCUGUGGGCUGAGGCGUUCGAAUGGUUGAUUGGUGAUAUUAAAACGUGUUUUCAGCAGGCAUUAGCCAACUCUAAUGAAAUAGUGGGCGCUCUGGUCGCCCAGAGUUUGGAUGAACGUGCUUUACAGAUGAUACUCAACACUUUCCAUUUUGCUGAUGUGUGGACAAAUAACGUAACAUUAGACGUCUAAAGGAAAUCAUUAAUAUCUCCAAGAAACCAAAACGCUCUUCUUAUAGUAUUCCUUACUCAGAGGAUCAAGAAUUCGUAAAUGUCUACUAUAAGAUGCCCGCUUCCAAUCCAACACGUAUUUCGCCAUGGUUGCUGCGAAUCAAAUUGAAGUAUUCCAAUUGUUGGGCACAGCGGUGAGUAAAUCGGUUGAGAAGGCAAUAAAAGCUGUGCUGCUGUUCUACGGCUUGUACGUGAACUAUCUUUAUUUGGCCGUCACACGAGGUAAUGACAGCUUACUAGAUAUUAUACAAGUAAGUAAAUUAUAUAACUCUUCUGGAUGUUAUAUUAAUUGAGGCCAUAUAUCGGCUUUAUAGUAACAUACAAUUAUAAAUAAUACCUAUAAUCAUAACUGGCCAAUAUUGUAUGUUUCUAAGUUGAAUAUGUAUAUAUACUUUAUUUAUUGGUAUCGUUAUUAAAAAUUGCUUCUUCUGGUUCAUUUUAGCACAAAAUUAAAAGUGGAAGAUUUCUUCACCAUAACCAAAAAUUUUUUGUUUGGUUUGGAAAUGUUAAUAACUGAAAUUUUAAAAUUUUGUUUGGUUAUCUAACAUAGGUAGCCCAUGUUAAUCAUUUGAACAGAACAGAAGAUUCGAUGUUAAAAUUUCAGUAAAAUUUUUCUUAACAUUCCUUAACAUGUAGCACACGUUACCACCGUAAAUAGCACAUCUACGUGUGUUAAGUAUCAUGUUAAAUAUUGUAGCCCUCAACUUUUUACAUGAAUAGUGUACAAACAUGCAUGCAAUUUUUUUAAAUAUAAUAUAGAUACUUUAACAAAUACAAAAAAAAAAGAAUUAUCUUUAAUUCUUUUUUGUUCGUUUUAGAUAUUUGUAAAUUUCGAUGGAAAGUUCUCAAGCUGGACUUCAAUAUCAUCAUUUAAUUUUUUAAAUUAAAAUCUGAUUGAGAAAUAAAAAUUUGGCAGUAUUAAAACUCUUUUUAAAUAAUUUAACAUCAUGAAACAAAAUGCAGUCGAGAAAAUACAAUAAUUUUUUUUAAUUGUGAAAAAUACUAAUUUGAAAAUUCAUGAAAAGGGAUAAACCAAAUCGCCUUUUUUAUUUUAAAUAAAGCAUUCGUAUCGAGUGAAAUUUCAUAACGUGUCGAGUAUGCGUGUCGCCGCACUCGAAGCAAAACGAAUAGAAAUUUGAUACAAUAACUUCCCUGGUUUGGCUCCAAAUGACAUUUACUAAUAACACGAAAUGCGAAAAGCCGAACAAAACGAAAAAGUAUUUGAAUUGAAUUUAAACUUCAUCAGAUUCAGAUGCUAUAAGGUGUAAGAUUCGGGAUAAAAACAAUUCCAUGGCUUUACCUGAAGCAGCGUAAGUUAAUAUAUAAAUAUUAUUCAGGAAGCGGUUUAGACUGAGUUAAUAUAUAAAUAUAUAAAUUCAGGAAGCGGUUUAGACUGACCAAUGAUCCAAUUGAUUUUAUCCUAUCGGAAUGAAAAUUGCGGCAUUUAUCAACCGCAGUACCACCAAUGCUUUAUAUAGCAGCGACUUUGACUUUCUUGGCGUAUUUUUAGUUGGUUUUCGCUAGACCAUUUAUCUCAGGGCACAGAAUACUUUGUUCAAAAAUAUAAACUUCUAAGAGGUAGGUUUGUCGACUAAAUGAUGAUGAUUCUGCGCACAGGAGUUUUUGGAGGAUGUAUGCGAUCAAUAUAAGUUGAAAAAUUACAGGAUUUUGGUUUCUUAAUUAACAGGAGAUUCUGGAUAUCCCUUGGAGCCCUCGAGCCAAGCGCUGUUUAAUGAAUUCCAUGCAAAAGCACUGGAUUGUUGGACGAACCAUUGGUAUACUGAAGGGCCGAUGGCCUUGAUGCUGUAGCAUGAAAUCACUCUUCAAAAAGUUUUGGCGCAUGUUAAUUUUGUUUAUAUGUGUCCUUAAAUCAUUAGUUCUAAUUGUAAAAUAUUUUAAAUAUAAUCUAUAAAAUAAAAAUAAUAUACAUUUUGAGACU